CCAUAUCUCUACGCAUUUCACCGCUACACAUGGAAUUCCACUUUCCUCUUCUGCACUCAAGUCUCCCAGUUUCCAAUGACCCUCCACGGUUGAGCCGUGGGCUUUCACAUCAGACUUAAGAAACCACCUGCGCGCGCUUUACGCCCAAUAAUUCCGGAUAACGCUUGCCACCUACGUAUUACCGCGGCUGCUGGCACGUAGUUAGCCGUGGCUUUCUGGUUAGGUACCGUCAAGGUGCCAGCUUAUUCAACUAGCACUUGUUCUUCCCUAACAACAGAGUUUUACGACCCGAAAGCCUUCAUCACUCACGCGGCGUUGCUCCGUCAGACUUUCGUCCAUUGCGGAAGAUUCCCUACUGCUGCCUCCCGUAGGAGUCUGGGCCGUGUCUCAGUCCCAGUGUGGCCGAUCACCCUCUCAGGUCGGCUACGCAUCGUUGCCUUGGUGAGCCGUUACCUCACCAACUAGCUAAUGCGACGCGGGUCCAUCCAUAAGUGACAGCCGAAGCCGCCUUUCAAUUUCGAACCAUGCAGUUCAAAAUAUUAUCCGGUAUUAGCCCCGGUUUCCCGGAGUUAUCCCAGUCUUAUGGGCAGGUUACCCACGUGUUACUCACCCGUCCGCCGCUAACUUCUUGAGAGCAAGCUCUCAAUCCAUUCGCUCGACUGC
rnacentral:rRNA from 1 species